CUUGCAUGUAACAACUCUCCUUCUGGGUAGCAGACAAGUGGCAGGAGGGCCCAGAUGUCUGGAUUUUCUUGAACAGCAGGCACCUUACAGGACCCUUGCCCUGAUACAGUACCCUCUCUCUCGUGAAACUACACGAGCAGCCCACCGUGGAGGGAAGAGGAGGGCAGGAGGUCUUGCAGCUUAGGCUCUUUGACUCAGCCAACUGGAAAAGUCAACAGCCUUACACAGAGGUUCCCAAGCCGGGAGUGGACCAGCAGCACCUGGAGAGGGGAUCUAGAACUCAGAUGGAGAAGAGAGGUGUUGUGUGUCCUUAUCACAUCUUCCCCCAGCAACUAUUGAGGAAAAUAAAUAAAGAAGUAUAGAUGAGUAAUAAGACAUCACAUCCACUAGAGACUCUUGAUCCGACAUCCGAUGAAUCCAUCCGCUUCCAAGGUGACUAGUUCAUCAGUUAAGGUCAAGAAGAGGAAUGCAGCAGGUACUUUGCUUACGUGGUCUCAUUUAACUCCUAUAAGGAGACGGUAUCUCAUUCGGUCAAUAAAUAUUGGGAGUGGCCCACAGGCCUGGCUUUGUUCCGGGAGGCUCAGAGAGGUAAUGGGAAUUGCUCAAGGUAGCUGGUCAGUGGAAGAGCUAGGAUUUUUUGAACCCAGGUCUGACCAACGACACCGUUUAGGCAUUCCUUGGAGAGAAAAGAGAGUGGGA
rnacentral:lncRNA from 1 species